GCCGGGCAGAGUGGUGCACGCCUGUAGUCCCAGCUACUCGGGAGGCUGAGAGAGGAGGAUCACUCGAGUCCAGGAGUCCUGGGCUGUAGUGUGCUUUGCCGAUCGGGUGUCCGCACUAAGUUCGGCAUCAAUAUAGUGACCUCCCGGGAGCAGAGAACCACCAGGUUGCCCAAGGAGGGGUGAACCGGCCCAGGUUGGAAACGGAGCAGGUCAAAAAUUUCUGUGCUGGUCAGUGUUGUUUUUUAACAAAAUCUUAAUCAUUUGAUUUUAUCAAUAAAGAUUCGUU
rnacentral:SRP_RNA from 1 species